AAUUAAGUUCUAAUUUAACCUUAAGUGAAAUCCUAAUAAACUUCAAUCAAAUUCUAGACAAAUCCUAAAUCCUAAAUCAAAUCCUAAUUAAAUUCUAAGUCCUAAACCAAAUCCUAACCAAAUCCUAAAUCCUAAAUCAAACUCUAAUUAAUUAUAAAUCCUAACCAAAUCCUAAACCCUAAAUCAAACCCUAAGAUAGUUUAGAACCUCAAUAUCUUUUGAAUAAACUAUUGAUCUUAUUUAUAAUUUUACAUACCUUUCAAUAUUUUAAUUAUAAACAAGUACAACAAAUUUGAGGAUAAUCACACUUAUCAAAUGGAAGAAAAAUCCUAAAAACUACUCAGAUAUUUGCUAAUAUCUUUCUCCAACCUUGAUGUUAAUCUUCUAAUGCUAAUAUCCCUUCUUUGGACCAUUAAAUUGAUCUCAAAUUUCUCAUAUACAUAAGAAAAUAAGUUUACUAUGCAAAUACAUAACUUUAAUUUCAAUCCAACUAGUAGAUUGCAAGAAAUCUUAGAAACUCUCAUUAGACCUAAAAUUCUACUUU
rnacentral:lncRNA from 1 species